GAUCAUGGCUCAGGAUGAACGCUGGCGGCGUGCUUAACACAUGCAAGUCGAGCGAAGCAGUUAAGAAGAUUCUUCGGAUGAUUUUUAACUGACUGAGCGGCGGACGGGUGAGUAACGCGUGGGUGACCUGCCCCAUACCGGGGGGAUAACAGCUGGAAACGGCUGCUAAUACCGCAUAAGCGCACAGAGCUGCAUGGCUCGGUGUGAAAAACUCCGGUGGUAUGGGAUGGGCCCG
rnacentral:rRNA from 1 species